GCAAGUCGAGGGGCAGCAUGGGACUUCGGUCCUGAUGGCGACCGGCGCACGGGUGAGUAACGCGUACACGACCUACCUUUAAGUGGGGGAUAGCCUUGGGAAACUGAGAUUAAUACCCCAUAGUAUUGCAAUAACUAUAAGUUGCAAUUAAAGCUACGGGGCUUAAAGAUGGGUGUGCGUCCCAUUAGCUAGUUGGUAAGGUAACGGCUUACCAAGGCGACGAUGGGUAGGGGGUGUGAGAGCGUGACC
rnacentral:rRNA from 1 species